UUUAAGUCCAACUAUAAGUUUCUAUGCCCAAUUUAGAUGGUUCAUUUUAUUUAAAUUUUUUUAUAAUUAUUAUUAUUAUUAUUAUUAUUAGUAGUAGAUGAUAAAACAUGAAUACUAAUUUAUGUGUGACUAAUGUUUUUAUUUUUUUUAAAUAAGACAGACGAUCAAAGUUGGCCACGAAAAAUCAUGGCAGCACCCUGG
rfam:Oryza glumipatula chromosome 3, whole genome shotgun sequence.